GUGGUGGAAUCUCACUACAGUUGAGCCAGACAAAAGGACAGUGACAAAGUAGUUAGGUGACGAAAAGAUGAGGCUGGUUUGGUAGCUACGUCCAAAUGAGAAUCCGGUGGGGUCUAGGUGGUGGUGAGGUUGGUUUAAAAGAGAAAAUCAGAGGGAAACAAACCCUAGGCUGCUAGAUCUGAGGUGAGGUUAUGGUUGGUUAGUUUCUUAAGGUAAGAGAGGAAGGAUAGACUGGUAAGUUUGGAGGUGAAGGAUUAUUUAGCAAGAAGAUGUUGAUGCAAACAAGGCUUCAUGGAAACAAGAUUUCUGAUACAGACUCGAGGUCGGAAAGAAGAUGUGGACAGUAUUCCAGCAUAAUUCAAUGAAAUUCACCAGUGUCCAGUGUAAGCCGUUUGGAGAUCAUUCGAACUUCCCUCCCAUUCUCUCAUCCGAGUCCUAUCCCUGGAGCAGACCAUCGACAACUUCACUGUGCAACUGGCGUUCGAUGACAUGGAAUCGGCCGACGCAGUUCCAAAGCUGAAGUUAUACCUGAACUCUUUCAUCUCUGAACUCCAAAUUGGCGGUACCCUGAUCUGCAAAUCGAAGGUCCAAAAACAGGCAGAUGGACUUGAUGUAGAGCCAAGGGUUGGAGUCCCUGGUGAUUGGCAUGUAUACUCAAGCAUUGGCUGAUGGUGGGUGAGACAGACCCUUUCUACAACCCUCUAAAUAACUACAUGAUCCAUAUAGAUGAAAAGAAGCAAUUUGUGAGCUCAUUAUGUGUUUCUUAGGUGGAAAAGGAUCAAUGUUCAGAAGCAGGAGCUUUUGUUGCCAUUGUCAUUCACCCCCAGAGGGAAUCAACAUUUUGAGUUAAGAGCUGUUGAUGUAUCAACAACCGGAUAAGAUGGCAUCACUUAGGCUUGGUAGGUGAUGCUUGUAAUAAGGCCUUAGCUUCUAUAGAAAGUACUCUCAAUGUAAAUAUGAUCUUGAAAGGACAACACACUGCUCAGAAGGCAAUACUGAAUAUUUUACUAUGGACAUAUUGAUAGUUAUAUUAUCAGUUUAUAAUAAUAUGUACAUGGGGAUUAUUGGAGAUAACCCUCAUAACCGAACCAGCUUUGGAGAUAAUCCUCCUGGAGGUUAUCCUACUAGAUCCAGAACCUCUAACCAAUCCAGAUCCAAUUUGGACUUUGAUAAAGAUAAGGAUAAGGACUGUAAAUCAAGAUCAAGAUAAUCCAUCAUGUACUCUAUCUAGCUUUCUAUUGUUAUCUUGUGCAUAUCAGUGUAUGAUCCAAAAUUUUCACUACAGUCUAUAAAUACCACUAGCUUCAGUGCUCCAAUUCACCGAAGUCUAUUCCCUCAUAUCUCUCUCUAUUUCUGUUAUUUCUUUAGUUUAAACUUGGUAUUAGAGCCGAUGGAUUUUUCUCAAGGGAGCAAUGGCAGCCGAACCAAUGUGAAUGCUGGUUCGAAUAUUUCAGGAUCGACAUCUUCGAUUCCUUCUCUUUAGAAUGUGACGCACUACCUUCCCAUCAAGCUAGGCAGUGACAACUACCUACUAUGGCGUGCGCAGUUCCUUCCUAUACUUUGACAUCACCAUCGGAUGGAUCUUGUUGAAGGGAAAAAGCAACCUCCACCAGAGAUGAAACCUGAUCCAGCAGGCGAAGGGAGUAUCUUGAAUCCAGAAUAUAUCAAAUGGUAUGACACUGAUCAACUUGUUCUAAGUUGGUUAAUUUCUUCUUUUACUAAGGGUGUCAUGGCCCAAGUUGUGGAAUUUUCGACUUCAACAGAGGUAUGGUGCUCUCUUGUUACUUCUUACUCAACCCAUGCUAGAUUUCACAUCCUGCAACUUAGGAAACAAUUGCACAGUUUAAAGAAGGGAUCUUUAUCUAUUUCUGCUUACAUUCAAAAAGCAAAAUCUAUAGCGGACAGUUUGUCUAUUGUUGCUGAACCUAUUCAUAAAUCUGAUUUGGUUUUAUAUAUUCUAGUUGGGUUAGGCAAUGAAUAUGAGUCUGUUCUGACUGCCAUAACCAACAGACCAAAUGCGCAUACCCUUGGUGUGCAUGAUAUUAUUGGCUCUCUUCUGAACCAUGAGAUUUGGCUCGAAGAGCAAGGACUUACCUCGUCAGAUUUGGGUGUUUCACUAGUUGCUAAUGUAAUUGGAGUGAAACUGAAAAAUAAUACAGGGUUCCAGAAUCAGCAAAAAAAUUUUCAAAAUACGUACGGCCGAGGGCGAGGACAACAACAAAAUUUUCAGAAUUAUAAUUCUCAACAAAAUUACAACCAGAAUUAGUUCUUUAAUGGUGAACGAGGUAAGGCACCUUCGAUUAUCUGUCAGAUCUGCAACAAACCUGGACAUGGUGUGUUCACUUGUAGGAAGGUAAAAUACAUUUUUGCAAAUAAUAGUGAUCAAAAUUAUGAACCUACCAUCUACAAUAGUCACACUACAUCUUCUUACAACAAUGGUAAUUCUUCAUUUGAUCCAACAUGGUAUCCAAACUUUGGUGCAACACAUCACAUGACAUUCGAUGCUGAUAACAUCCAAAAUCAGUCUGAAUACCAGGGUUCAGAUCAGGUCAGAGUGGGUAAUGGUCAAGGUUUGCAAAUAAAGCAUACUGGCUCUUCAUCUCUUCUCUUUAAUCAACAUGCUUUCACAUUAACUGAUAUAUGUCAUGUUCUUGCAAUCUGCAAAAAUUUAUUGUCCGUUAGCAAGUUUAUAAAGGACAACGAUAUAUUUUUUGAGUUUCACCAUGACCGUUGCUUUGUGAAGGACUAUACGGGGAAAAUCCUUCUUCGAGGAGUCAGUAGAGGAGGGUUGUACUGCUUCCCAUCAACAAUAGCCAUUUCAUACAACUCGACAACUGCACCUUCUGCUCUUGUUGGUGAACGAACAAAUCUUCAGGGUUGGCAUCAACGUCUUGGUCAUGCAGCACUUCGUACAGUCCAGCUAGUCGUCUCUCAGUAUGGUUUACUGUAUUCUAGCCAAAAUUCUAGUUUAUUUGUUUGUGAAUCUUGUCAAAUGGGUAAGAGUCGUCGAUUGUCUUUACCUUUGUCUUCGUCUAGGUCUCAGAGUCCUUUGGUUCUAAUUUUGCUGAUGUAUCCCCAGUUAAGUCUAAUAAAGGGUAUUCUUACCAUGUGUUAUUUCUUGAUGAUUUUUCAAAAUUUUCUUGGAUAUAUCCCUUAGCAUGAAAAUCUGAUGUCUAUGAGGUCUUUUUAAAAUUUAAACACCAUGUUGAAUUGUUCUUCAAUUCCAAAAUUCGUGCUUUUCAAUCUGAUUGGGGAGGGGAGUAUCGCAAGCUCUCCUUUUAUCUUGACUUACAGGGUAUCUCCCAUCGGGUGUCCUGUCCACACACACAUGAAUAGAACGGAACAGUUGAGAGGAAACAUCAUCACAUUGUUGAAUCCACUCUCGCUCUACUAGCUACCUCCAAGCUCCCCUUCUCCUUCAGGGCUGAUGCAAUAGAGACAGCCUGCAGUGUUUUGGAUGCACCUGCUAUCCCCUUCUUCGACUAUACAAUGCUCAUAAGUUUCAGUACCGCUCUUUGCAGUGUAUUUUCCUUGGCUACAGUCAUUCUCAUAAAGGGUACAGGUGCCUUCACCUGUCGACAGGUCGAGAAUUUAUUGCCCGCCAUGUGGUAUUCGAAGAAGAACUAUUUCCUGGAAUUCCUCUAGCUCCAUCGCCCACCAGUACAGCAACUCAACCGGGAUUCUAUCUACAUGUACCUUCACAUAUCCUAGCAUCUCAAGUAUCUCCUCCUUCAGUUUGGCUACCAGAUGCAGCACCUCUUCCUAAUCGCACCACUUCCAAUUCGGCUAAGAACUCUUCUCCUGUACAAGCUCUUGUCUGCAAGCAGCAACGCUUUCGUACGACGGAGGACUUGUUGGCUCACACACCAGCUGUACCACCACCUACUUGACAGCAUUCUAUGACCACUCAUUCUUUGGAUGGCACUCUCCCUGCUCGAUCACAUCUCACCACUCAGUAUCCCAUUACAGCCGCCUUACUUAGUUCUCUCUCCUCUGAAACGGAGCCCUGCUCCUAUACAGAAGCAGUCGAGUCUCCCCAAUGGAGGUCGGCUAUGCAGCUGGAAUUCGAUGCUCUUUUGAAAAAUCAAACAUGGGAUUUCGUGCCAUAUUAUUCUUCUAUGAACGUAGUUGGUACUAAAUGGGUGUAUAAAAUUAAGAGGAAAUCAGACAGUUCUUUGGAGCGGUACAAGGCCAGACUUGUUGCUCAAGGUUUUCAUCAGGUACCUGACGUUGAUUUCACUGAUACCUUUAGUCUGGUAGUCAAACUAGUAACGAUUCGUACCAUUUUAGCUAUUGCCACUACUCAUCGGUGGUCUGUACGGCAACUAGACAUCAACAAUGCUUUUCUUCAUGGACUUAUAGCAAAGGACAUCUAUGUUCGCCAACCCAAGGGAUUUGAACGUCCUGACUAUUCAGACUAUGUCUGCAAGCUGAAGAAGGCCCUGUAUGGACUCAAGCAAGCCCCUCGUGCCUGUGAACCUCUGCUGGUCUUGAUCUAUUGCAGAAACGGUACAUUCUGGACUUAUUGCACCGCACCAAACUUGAUGGCACAAAACCCUAUAGUUCUCCGAUGGCAGCAUCUGCUCAGCUAAGCAAGACAUCAGACACCCCUCUCUCCGACCAUUUGACUACAAGAGCAUUGUUGGUGCACUACAGUAUAUCACUCUCACUAGACCGGAUAUCUCCUUCUCAGUCAACAAGGUUUGUCAGUUCCUUCAAACUCCAACUGAUGAACAUUGGUCUGCGGUUAAACGUAUCUUGUGUUACCUUAAGGGAACCCUAGAUCAUGGUUUGCAUUUUGUUGCAUCCUCUACUUCGCUUCUGCUAAAUUGACUGGGCCAGCUGUUCGGAUGACCGUCGGUCUACGGGUGCCUUUGCUAUUUAUUUGGGUCGUCACCUCAUAAGUUGGAGCUCUAAGAAGCAACAUACUGUAGCUCGUUCAAGCACAGAGUCUGAAUUUUGGGCUCUUGCCAAUAGUGUCACUGAGGUUUUGUGGAUUCAGUCUCUUUUGACUGAUCUCAAGUUUCCAGUCUCCAAGCCCACGGUAUGGUGUGACAAUCUUGGUGCUACUUAUCUUGCUACUCAUCCCAUUUUCCAUACUAGAACCAAGCAUGUGGAAGUUGAUUUUCAUUUCCUCUAGAAUCUUUGUGUGGUUAACAAAUUAUCCCUUCGAUAUCUCUGCUCUGAAGAUCAAGUAGCUAACAUUUUCACAAAACCUCUGGCCACACCACGGUUCAGUCUUCUCCAAUCCAAGCUUCACAUCCGGACGUUUAGCUUGAGGGGGCAUAUUGGAGAUAAUCCUCAACCAAACCAGCUUUGGAGAUAAUCCUCCUAGAGGUUAUCCUACCAGAUCUAGAACCUCUAACCAAUCCAGAUCCAAUCUGGACUCUGAGAAAGAUAAGGAUAAGGACUGCAAAUCAAGAUCAAGAUAAUCCAUCAUGUACUCUAUCUACCUUUCUUUUAUUAUCUUGUACAUAUCAUUGUAUGAUCCAAACUCUUCACUACACUCUAUAAAUACCACUAGCUUCAAUGCUCCA